AUGUAUUAAUAUAAUUGGCUACUGCUUUAUUAAAACUUAAAUAUUUUUUUCUAGCUCUCAGUGUUGUGUCUACCAAGGGUGAUGAUUGUGGAUACACUUGUAGGUCGGAGGGAGGUGAAUGUGCCUGGGAUCAACCUGCUGGUAACUUCAGUGCUAUAGGAAAAUGUAGUGAGGGAGUGUAUGGAGAGGGGACCUACUGUCAGUGUGGAACCUGUUGGAAGAAAAACGACCCAUGCGAGGAUUCUAAAUGCAAGGAAUCUGGAGGAAUAUGUUCUUGGGCCCAACCUAAACCAGAUUAUGAGUCAACCGGGAAA